AUACUCUGGUUUCUCUUCAGAUCGGAAAAAUCUUUUGGCUUUUACUAAAGAUUUCCGAGGAGAUAAACAAUUCUGAAUGUUAACCCAAUUUGGGGGGGUCUUGCAUUUGCAGGGCC
ensembl:snRNA U5 U5 spliceosomal RNA